rnacentral:rRNA from 1 species
UACGCACGCUGGCGGCGUGCUUAACACAUGCAAGUCGAACGGAAAGGCCCUGCUUUUGUGGGGUGCUCGAGUGGCGAACGGGUGAGUAACACGUGAGUAACCUGCCCUUGACUUUGGGAUAACUUCAGGAAACUGGGGCUAAUACCGGAUAGGAGCUCCUGCUGCAUGGUGGGGGUUGGAAAGUUUCGGCGGUUGGGGAUGGACUCGCGGCUUAUCAGCUUGUUGGUGGGGUAGUGGCUUACCAAGGCUUUGACGGGUAGCCGGCCUGAGAGGGUGACCUGCCACAUUGGGACUGAGAUACGGCCCAGACUCCUACGGGAGGCAGCAGUGGGGAAUAUUGCACAAUGGGCGGAAGCCUGAUGCAGCAACGCCGCGUGCGGGAUGACGGCCUUCGGUUUGUAAACCGCUUUCGCCUGUGACGAAGCGUGAGUGACGGUAAUGGGUAAAGAAGCACCGGCUGACUACGUG